UCCAUUUCGUAAUAACUCGACCGUAAUCUCAUAAACGUUAUUAUACUACAAUAGCGUUUGAUUGGUCAGAAGGUAUUGAUUGAUCAAAGGUUUAUAUUCUAUGUUGCAGUUUCUAUAGUAACAAUGUACACAGAGACCGAAUGGUGGAUGCUCCACAUAAAAGGAUGUGUAAUCUUUAAUAUGAUGACGUUUUCUGUGAUUGAUUUGGCAAUUUUUUGGAAGGAGUCUCCAGAGCACGUGCUUUGUACAGUAUCAAUUUUCAAUAUUUUCAAGACGGAAGAGUUUACACUUGUUGUUUUUUUUUUCCUCCAAGAGAGAGAGAGAAAAUAGGGGCUGAGGAGGGAGCGACUGUUUAUAGCUGCUAUAACGAAACCCCCAAAGCACAUCAUGUUUUUCAUUUGUCCUUCCUGUACUCGGACUGAUUCAGCCGAAUCAAGGAUGUUUCUUCGUACGGAUCAAAGACAGAACGCACAACAUUAGUAGGCGGAGAGACCAAACACGCUGCAGUGUUGAUCCUCCUAAAGCCACAGGAGUGUUCCAGCUGUACAGCUACACAAGGGCAAACACACACACACACAAACACACACACAUUGUUCCGGGGUCUGUGUGUAUCCUCAUUCGCUACAAAUCCAGCCUGCAGCCUGUGGCCAGCUUUCCUUUCUCCUUGAAGGUCAGGAAGUCUUGUGUAGAAGCAACACACUCUUUCUGUAACCUCAAGGAGGAUAAUAAGUGAACAUGGAGGUCACACAUGCAGUAAAGUUCUAUGGGUUUUCUACACACUCCUACACUAAAAGGGAUAUAUAUAUGAUUCUUCAAGUGUUAAGUUCCAGCAACUACAAGUUAGGUACCAUUAUCACUUACAUAAUAGCAGCUGUACAGAAAUGUUCACUCAAAUUUUUUUUGUGGACCCAGCAUCCACAACC